ensembl:lncRNA
UGUAGGACAUUUCUUACAAAUUAAGAGCUUCAUGAGGCUUUUGAGGAGCGGGUGCGCUUGUUUCUCGUCUCCACCACGAGAAGGGAUCCUAAUUCCAAUGGGGUUGUUUUCAACAAGAAAACAAUUUAUGUCCCCGUUCAGCAAACCGGAUGCUUCACAAACUGCAGUGACACCGAGCUCCACAGCGACUCCUCUGCUUGGACCAGGAGCAGAAGAAGGAGGACGGACGGCAGCGUCCCCCAGUUCCAACCGGGGGGAGGAAGCAGCAGAACUUUGUAUAGAAUCCAAACAAACAAACAAGCCGAGGUUCAGCAGGUCGUAAAGGAUCCUCCAUCCACACUGCAGCAAAGCGCUCUUUACCCAGGCUGAAGGACGACGCCUCAGUGCGGCACAACGAACCACACGUCUUUUCUCGUUCAAAACGACUAUUCGACCUCCUCCUGUGCCCUGAAGUUCACUUGAGUUUAGUUUGGUUUAGGUCCUGCACCAGAGAAAGCCCUCAGCUAGAGGCUACACCUUGAAAACAGCUGCAUCGGCGGCCUCCCUGCCGGUAUCUUUGGAACCGAUCGCCCCCCCUCCCUCCCUCCCUCGGGGGGGAGGUUUACCUUACGGGGGCGACAGGGGCUUACUGGAACACGCUGACCACGUCACGUGACGGACCCGCGUCAUUAACUGCAAGGAGGCGCAAUGAGCCGGCAGAAAGAACAAAGGUCACGGGAUGAACGCGCACAGAUGUGCUCCGUCCUCGAAGCCGGCCCGCAGUCUUCAAAUAGGCACAGAGUUGUGGAACAGCGGGAGAGCGAGAGUUUUGUUCCACCUGCUGGGAGUCGAAAUAACGUGACCUCUGAAGUUCCUCCGGUACGCAACCCCAACUUCUCCUUCAGGGGAGAGAGAGUUUCUCUAAUUGCGGCCUGGGGUCAGCAGAUCGGAUGCCCCCCCCGAGCGUCUGUGGGACUAUUAUUAGACGCUCGGAGCAUUUAGGGGAGGGCGGGUCAAGCUAACGCAGCGCUUAUUUGAGUAUGAUUGAUGAGGACAUGUGAGACAUUUACAGUAGUUAACUUUACAACUAUCGCGAAGCCGUGAGUUGCUUCAACAGUUAAAACCACUGUGCUGUUUUCAAUGUCGUGCUUUAUAACAUUUCAAUGUCAUGUGCAUUAUUUUAAUGGGUUUCCAGGCAACAUGGCGCUCAACUAUUCCAUUUGGCUUUCUUUUACCUUUUUUAGUUGAAUUUAUCACUUUAUUUACUGUUAUUAUUUAUUUAUCUUACUCCUAUUUUUACUGCAUUUUGCAAUGGUGUCAGUUGGAUUUAUUUUAUACUUAAUUAUCAUUGCUUAGAAAUGUUCAUAUUAGUUUGUCAUUGAUUGAUUACUACUGUUUUUUCCUGUUCUUGUGUUGUAAUUUUCAAUAACACUCUCAAAAAAUAAUUUUCCUCUGGGUUAAUGAAUUGAAAUCUUACCUCAUUUUCUUUUAUAUUUUGUGUUUCUUUCCAUGGGAAAUUGCACAUGAAUCAACAUUUCAGUUCCCACCAGAAGUACUGCAUGAGGCAGCUUCUAACAAACUAACACUGUUCAGCACAGUGCAACAAAAUCAACCAAUGCGAGUAUCGCAGAGCAGAGCCGGAGAUGAUACAGCUUGCAUGUGCUUAGAGGUAACAAGUGUCGGGAUCUCCGAUCCCUCCGAGUUGGUUGAUGAGCAGGAUCGCAACACGUUGAUCAAUUAAAGUCAAAAAGUU